rnacentral:rRNA from 1 species
UGGUGGGUUGCCUUGUCAGGUUGAUUCCGGUAACGAACGAGACCUCAGCCUGCUAAAUAGUCACGUCUGCUUUUUGCAGAUGAGCGACUUCUUAGAGGGACUAUUGUCGUUUAGGCAAUGGAAGUAUGAGGCAAUAACA